CCUACGGGGGGCAGCAGUGGGGAAUAUUGGACAAUGGGGGGAACCCUGAUCCAGCGACGCCGCGUGAGUGAAGAAGUAUUUCGGUAUGUAAAGCUCUAUCAGCAGGGAAGAAAGAAAUGACGGUACCUGACUAAGAAGCCCCGGCUAACUACGUGCCAGCAGCCGCGGUAAUACGUAGGGGGCAAGCGUUAUCCGGAUUUACUGGGUGUAAAGGGGGCGUAGAUGGCGAUGCAAGUCUGAAGUGAAAGGCGGGGGCCCAACCCCCGGACUGCUUUGGAAACUGUAUGGCUGGAGUGCAGGAGAGGUAAGUGGAAUUCCUAGUGUAGCGGUGAAAUGCGUAGAUAUUAGGAGGAACACCAGUGGCGAAGGCGGCUUACUGGACUGUAACUGACGUUGAGGCUCGAAAGCGUGGGGAGCAAACAGGAUUAGAUACCCUGGUAGUC
rnacentral:rRNA from 1 species